rnacentral:lncRNA from 1 species
GUUGUUAUGAAAAAGGGUGAGUAUUAAAACCCUAAUCAUCUAUAUUUUCCUAUAGGAACCUCCUGAGAUAUUUAUGUUUGGUUAUUGUUGUUUUCUAAAUACUGCGGAGAAGAGAAGAGAAGUGUGUUUUACUGCUUUUUUAUUUUAAAAGACAUAAAGUCUUGUGGAUAUGUACCGAUGAAGAAUCAAAAUCCCGUAGUUCGGGUAGAAAAGUUUGAAAACAUAUCUAUUGGUUAAGUUUAGGAGAAGAGAC